AUUGAACGCUGGCGGCAUGCUUUACACAUGCAAGUCGAACGGCAGCGGGGUAGUGCUUGCACUACUGCCGGCGAGAGGCGAAAGGGUGAGUCAUAUAUCGGAACAUACCGAGUAAUGGGGGAUACCCAAUCGACAGAUUGGCUAAUACCGCAUACGUCCUGAGGGAGAAAGCGGGGGAUCGCAAGACCUCGCGUUAUUCGAGCGGACGAUAACUGAUUAGCUAGUUGGUGGGGUAAAGGCCUACCAAGGCGACGAUCAGUAGCGGGUCUGAGAGGACGAUCCGCCACACUGGGACUGAGACACGGCCCAGACUCCUACGGGAGGCAGCAGUGGGGAAUUUUGGACAAUGGGGGCAACCCUGAUCCAGCCAUGCCGCGUGUAUGAAGAAGGCCUUCGGGUUGUAAAGUACUUUUGUUAGGGAAGAAAAGGGAAGUGCUAAUACCACUUUUUGCUGACGGUACCUAAAGAAUAAGCACCGGCUAACUACGUG
rnacentral:rRNA from 1 species